rnacentral:rRNA from 1 species
AUUGAACGCUGGCGGCAGGCCUAACACAUGCAAGUCGAACGAGUGGCGGACGGGUGAGUAAUGUCUGGGACACUUCCUGAUGGAGGGGGAUAACUACUGGACACGGUAGCUACUACCGCCUACCAUCGGAUGUGCCCAGAUGGGUUUAGCUAGUAGGUGGGGUAAAGGCUCACCUAGGCGACGAUCCCUCACUGGUCUGAGCGGAUGACCAGGCACACUGGAACUGAGACACGGUACAGACUCCUACGGGAGGCAGCAGUGGGGAAUAUUGGACAAUGGGCGCAAGCCUGAUGCAGCCAUGCCGCGUGUAUGAAGAAGGCCUUCGGGUUGUAAAGUACUUUAAGCGGGGAGGCGUUACCCGCAGAAGAAGCACCGGCUAACUCCGUGCCAGCAGCCGCGGUAAUUC